GACGAACCGAGCGACCGUUGUUCGGAAUCACUGGGCUUAAAGGGCGCGUAGGCGGGUGCUCAAGUCUGUGGUGAAAUCCUCCGGCUCAACCGGAGAACUGCCAUGGAUACUGGGUGCCUCGAGGGUGGUAGGGGUAUGCGGAACUAUCGGUGGAGCGGUGAAAUGCGUUGAUAUCGAUAGGAACUCCGGUGGCGAAGGCGGCAUACUGGACCACUUCUGACGCUGAGGCGCGAAAGCCAGGGGAGCAAACAGG
rnacentral:rRNA from 1 species